GCCUCUUCUGCGAUCCGUCGAGAGCCCCCGACCCCUCCGUAUAUCGGCGGAGGGCGAGACGAGGAGGAGGAAACUCGCAGUAACAAUGACUGUCCGAGCUGCGAGUCCCACAGGAGUAACCGGGCCCGCGCUAAACUCCACAGCUCCAGGGCACCACAGUCGCCAUCACCCGAAACAAAAUGGCGACCCUUCCGCUUCCGCUGGCCAGGCGGAGAGCUGUCUAUUUUCCGGUAUUCGAUAGAUUCGCCUCAAAUUUCUGUGACUCGAGCUAGAAAUCAAACGAGCGUACAGCGCUAACGAACUCUGUGCUGUCAACGGCCACGGUGCGGAUAAAUUCGAGGCGGCGUGAGGCAGAACCGGUCGGUUGCCUGGAGAGGAUUCUGACGUCACGGGUGUGGCGAAAGUGCGGAGCGGGGGAGCUGGGCCCGAGGCCGUGUGGGAUCGUUUAUCUCAGCGUCAGGACUUUGUUCACUGAUAUGAAAGAAAUUUCAAGCGUACCAAAAGAACGCAUCCAGUGCUGUUCCAGUCAAACAGGAACAAAGAAAUCGCGACUGCUGAAGUUAAGAGACCUUACUGAAAACUAAACAAAGACAGGGUAAGCAGUUCUGAAUAGAGAUGUGCUAUUUUUUAUAAUGAAGAAGCUGUAAUUUGAAGGUGGGAAUUUAUAUAAAUUCAAAGAAAUGGAUUAAAGUAUUUGGGUUAUACAGAGACAAAGCUGCGUAUGAGAGAGCUACCAUAAAGGAUUAUUGUUGAUCAACAUGUGCAUAGUGUCCUUUGUAGUAAAAAUGGAAAGCUUACAAAUAUUGUAUCAGUCUUGAGACUGGGACUCAAAGUAGGUUUGUUAUUUUUGUAGAAAAUGCUCUACUUGGAAGCUGGAGCCAAGAUCUACGGUUUCUUGCUUAUUACAGAGCAUGGCAUGAACUCACACUUCUGUCAGACAUCUUUAUUCUAUCUCAGUGGUAUCUUGUAAUGAAAGAGUUGCUGUGUUCUAUAGGGAAGUAUGCACAAAACCAGUGAGCUUUACUUGAACAUUAAAUUUGUAUAUAAUUAAUCUCCUGAAGAAGAGAUUCUCUAAAUUAUCGUGAGUUUUAAAGCAGAUGCUACUGUUACUUCUGCCAUUACUGUAGAAUCCCCAUAUAAAACAUACAGUAAUCCCAGUCCAAUUUAAGUGGAAUCACAUUUUAAACACAGAAUUGCUGUAAAACAGUUUCUAGGUAAACAACUUAUAGCUAUGGUAAUGGCUGUAGUGUGUAAGUGACCACAUUAAUGACUGGGUGCAGAGUAUCAGAGUAAUGGAUGAGGAUUUCUGGCUCUUCCUAUUAUAAGCUUUCUGUAGUUCAUAGUUUAGUUACUGACUUUAUUUCCAGAGAGUUACUUACUACUUAUGUGAAAAUUAUAUUUGCCUGACUGUCUAAAAAUAUAAGGUUAAAUGCUCUCAUCUUUGUGAUGCUAUUUAUCUAUAGAGGACCUUUCUUACAUAUCCUCUGUCAGGUUCUUUCUUCUGUGUAUCUAUAUUUCACAGCCUGCCAAUUUCUAUGACUGAUUUAUCUGGUUACUGUCUUCUGGCCAUAGGACUGCUUUCUUGAGGGUGAUUUUAAGAAGAAAAGAUGCACAGAAAUAGAAAAUGUUAUACUAAAGCAGGAAUAAAAGGGAGGGGGAAGGAAGUGGAGAGUACCA
ensembl:lncRNA